GAUGAAAUGCCUGAUAAAAGGAUUAUUUUGAUAGAAUAAAUUAUGUAAAUUUUACUUUCAUUA
rnacentral:tRNA from 1 species